UUGCUGGCGGAGUGCUUAACUCAAGCAAGUAGGCCGAGAAAGUCUGAUUUUGUUUGGCCGCGUAAAGUAGGGCACGGGUGUGUAACGCGUCGGCAACCUAGGGUUGUAUUCCCGAUAACCCCGCGAAAGCCGCGCUAAUACUGGAUACGAUCUCACGAUGGUCGUUGUGGGUUGAAAGUCAGGCACUCGGAGAAGCUGACCUACGAGGAAAGGCCUGCGUUCUAUCAGCUGAUUGGUGGGGCAGCGCCCUUCCAAGGCGAGGACGGGUAGCUCGUCUGAGAGGAUGAUCAUCCACACUGGAACUGGAACACGGCCCAGACACCUACGGGACGCAGCAGUGUGGAAUUUUGAGCAAUGGCGUCAAGGCUGUCGCAGCAUCGGCGCGUGGAUAAUGUUGGCGAACGGGUCGUAUAGCCCUGUCCGGUGCCAAGGGAGGCUUGUUUGGGAAUCCGGGUUGAGUUUGGCGGUACCUCCAGAGUUAGCAGCGGCUUACUCCGUGCCG
rnacentral:rRNA from 1 species